rnacentral:rRNA from 1 species
UAGGGGAAUCUUCCACAAUGGGCGAAAGCCUGAUGGNGCAACGCCGCGUGUGUGAUGAAGGGUUUCGGCUCGUAAAACACUGUUGUAAGAGAAGAAUGACAUUGAGAGUAACUGUUCAAUGUGUGACGGUAUCUUACCAGAAAGGAACGGCUAAAUACGUGCCAG